AUUGAACGCUGGCGGAAUGCUUUACACAUGCAAGUCGAACGGGAGCACGGACUUCGGUCUGGUGGUCAGUGGCGGACGGGUGAGUAAUGUAUCGGAACGUGCGCAGUAGUGGGGGAUAACGUAGUGAAAAUUACGCUAAUGCCUCAUCAGAUCUAGAGAUAAAAGCGGGGGAACGCAAGCGCUCGCGCGCAUGGAGCGGCCGAGUACGUAUUAGGUAUUUGGUGGGGUAAAGGCCCUCCAAGCCAACGAUCUGUAGCUGGUCCGAGAGGACGCCCGGGCACCCUGGAACUGAGAUGAGGUCCAGACUCCUACGGGAGGCAGCAGUGGGGAAUUUUGGACAAUGUGCGAAAGACUGAUCCAGCCAUUCCGCGUGCAGGAUGAAGGCCCUCGGGUUGUAAACUGCUUUUGUACAGAACGAAAAGGUUUCUACUAAUACUAGGAGCUCAUGACGGUACUGUAAGAAUAAGCACCGGCUAACUACGUGCCAGCCGCCGCGGUAA
rnacentral:rRNA from 1 species